GCAGCUGUUAACCUUGAAUUCCGCUGUCAAACACGAUUUUUUAAACAAUGAAAUAGAAAAAACACCGACUGAUGGCUUCGACGGAAACAUACACCAUCAGUGAACCUCGUAGCUCACGGGAGGAAGGAGGGAUGCCCGUCGCAGAGUCCUUGACACUGUCAUCCACCCAGGGUAGUUCCAUUGCCAUCCGCCGGGUGACGGAGUAGCCCGACUGCCUGGAUGGGGGGAACGGCCGCCGUCUGCGGGGCGAGUGGGGACUGGAUUUCCCGACUGCCUGGAGAGAUGAAGCCACUGCCAGGGGCGGAGGAGUGCCCUGCCGUCCCCACGUGCCACCAUAAAAGCGGAGGGGCAUCUGUCCACUGGGGUUCGGAGGUUUGACACAGGUCCGCCGGGGUGGAGCGGCUGUCGUCUGCCUGAGAGUGUGGAGGAGUGAUCGGGGACCACGCGAUGGCGCAUCAGAGAACCGGUCGAGGAAGGCGGGGAUGACCAGCUGGCAGAUGGGCACGCCCCUCCCCGGGGAAAGAGGCUCCCCGGCCUGAGGCAACGCCGGGAGGAGUGUAGAGCGGAGGGGGCGGGCUGGAAUGACAAUCAGCCUGAUGGGGCGCGCGAGGGAUAAAGGCGGCCAGUGACGACAGUUCGAGAGAGAGAGAAUUAUGGGCAGCUGCCCUGUAUGUGUUUGUGUGUGAAGCCGGUUCUUGCCUCCUUCUUUCCAUUAACCCCUUUACAGAGUACUGUAUGACUUUUAAGGGGGCAGUUCAACAGCAUAUAAUUAGUUGGCUGUAUUUAUUAUAGUAAGUAGCUUACCCGUAAUAAGGGCUCUAUAAGCGCUCUAUAGAGAGAUGACUUGUGUGGAGAUGGACGCCACAUCCAGGUUAAAAAAAUCACGCGGACGUGUUUUGUGAGGACCAUCUGCUGCCAAACAUAUAUCCUGUAAGGACACACCAUUUGUCCACGCCCAUGAAGAGGCCAUGUCUCUGGAUGAAUGCGCUUUGACACCAGUAGGGCAACUCGCACCCUGUGAUUAAUAAGCAAGGACGAUCGCAUUAGCGAUCUCUUCUGAAAAUCAGAAAAAACACCCUGCUGGUAGAAGGCCGGUGCUGUCUAUGGUACUAGAGCAGCCAAGCAAGUCAAGAGCGAUGCGUUUACGCCUGAGGCUUCAGGUGUGAUGUGGAACAUGUCGUUUAAGCCAGUACUGGAAAGGUCUCAUGUGUAACAGACCUAAUGGUAUGACUGCCGAUGCUGCCUCCAUAAAACCCAACAUUCAGAAAUAAAUGUU